UAUACGAUGAAGAGUUUGAUCCUGGCUCAGGAUGAACGCUAGCGGCAGGCCUAACACAUGCAAGUCGAGGGGUAGAGUUCUUCGGAACUUGAGACCGGCGCACGGGUGCGUAACGCGUAUGCAAUCUACCUUAUACAGGGGAAUAGCCCAGAGAAAUUUGGAUUAAUGCCCCAUAGUAUUAU
rnacentral:rRNA from 1 species